AGAGUUUGAUCAUGGCUCAGGAUAAACGCUGGCGGCGUGCCUAACACAUGCAAGUCGAACGCUCUGAGCAAUCAGAGAGUGGCGGACGGGUGAGGAACACGUGGGUUAUCUACCUUGAGGUGAGGAAUACCGGCGAGAAAUCGCCGACAAGACCGCAUAUGCUCGUGCGAGCGAGCAAAGUCGCAAGACGCCACAAGAUG
rnacentral:rRNA from 1 species